rnacentral:tRNA from 1 species
CAGCGCCUGGGUCGUGGCGAGGAGGCCCAGCACGUUCACGUCGAACUGGCGGCGGAUCUUCUCCAGCGGCGUGGCC